rnacentral:lncRNA from 1 species
UUUACUUUAUUUUCUAAGUUUAACUUCUCUAUUUGACUUUGUUUCAGUUUCCAUUAUGCAUGUUAUUAUUUCUCUUCUCAAUGUGGCUUUAGCAGCCUACCACAAUAUAACUGGUGUCACUUAUCCAUUAUUAUUACUCUAUCUAUAAUUUCUUAAACAGCAUAUUAUUUUAGCUUUAAAAAUAUUAUUAAGAGAGUUAUUAAAUCUCCAUAUUGAAGUUCCUCGUAUACUUCCAAGAUCCAUUUCCAUUAUCAUUACUGCAUGAUAUACUACAGUUAUUGGUAAAAUUACAGUUCUUUACCCUUAACACAUCCUUUUUAAACAAAAAUAUAUUAUUAGCUUCAGGGUAAUAUCCAAACUCCUUAAUCUGUGGAUGAAUAAAAUGCCACACAUCUAUCAAUCCCAGCUCCACAUCUGCUUGAUGCAAAAGUGUAGCCACUUUUACUGAUUGUGAUUUCUUAUACACUGUAAAAACGACAACUCAAAAUUGUUCACCUUACUAAGAUUUUUGCAUUCAUUGACAAUAAAAUUGCUAGUUGGGACUUGAACUGAACUUGAACCAUCUGUUGUAAGUCACUUGAACUCACUUUCAGAUGUUUCUGAGGAAAAGUUCAUCUUAUUUUAUAAACUGAGUUGAUUUUAUUUUGAAGUUGUAGUUGACCCCCAGUUAGAGUGAGGUCAACUUAUCUGCGCAUGCUCAUUUGAUAUUUGUCAAGCAACCGGCUGACAGGGUUUCCAAGGAUUUUCCCAGGAGCUCUCUUCAAAAGUCGGAAAGUUUGCGUCCGCCAUCUCGUCACGAUGCCAGCGGCAGCGUAAACCAGCGGCCUCCCCGCAGCCCCACCACGGCUGUGCCCCUUCGCUCUGCAGACUGUCUGCGGCACGGAAACAGCAGCGACGCUCGGGCCGUGAGAGCGGUCUGUCUGCUGAUGGGUGGAGCAGCCGCAUCCUCGGCACUGGGAUACCUCAAUUCCUGUCCACCCUCCUCCUCCAACAUGGCCGUCCAUGCUCCUGAAGUGACCCACUCCACAGGAUUAUCAGAGAUGAGCGGAGGCAGCUCUUACCAUGCCUGCAGCCAAGCCAUAGAGUCACCGCAUUUUAACAGCUUCGACUUUGAGGGAGAUUCAGAUUUUGAUGCUUUUGACUGUGGAGGGUUUGCUUUUUAAUGGAAUAUGUUUACUUUAUUCGCAGGGUUCCCAGUCGUGGAAAUGUUAGGGAAUUAGAAAAUUUUUAUUUUAAGGACCAGAAAGGUAUGGAAAUGCAUAAACUCUUUAAAAAGUCAUGAAAAUUCCUGUGGGUAUAUGUCUUCAGGAUUGUAGACAUGUGUGCAGACUACUAUAUGUUUUUUAAUGCAUAGUAGUUAAAAGCAUCUGGAAAAAAAUCAUACACAUUUAUUGUCCAUAUGAUUUUGGAUGCUGCAUACUGUCAGGGAUUCUGCACGAUCACAAUCACCACCACAGUCACCAGCCCCUACACACACCUGAGUUUUGGUCACCCACACCUGCACUCUGUAAUCAAGACCUCUUCAUAAACCUCCACACUCAGUCUCCCAUUGUCUGAACUUCAAUUCACUUAUCUGACUCUCUCGUGGUACUAACCUGUCUGUAUUUAUCCCCAGACGCUCCAGUGCUCUCCCAAUCCUGUUUUCCUUGACUCCAGCACAAUUCCCGGUCAACCUUCAAAGGAUACUACACCAAUCACCUCAGAACCCAAUAACUGUUUGUGUUUCUACUCCCCUCUUGACUGUUCCUGCCAUUGCAUUCUGAAACUCAUUCAAUAAACAUACCUGUUAUUGGACUAAUCCUUUGUCUCCAGCCUGUGUUAUGACACAUACAAAGUUGUUUGUUAAUCUCUUUUCAGCAAAAGACAAAAAUAAUUACAAUUAGAAUAUGUGAAGAUGAAAAUGAUUAUAUUGGAAAAUGAAGCGUAUUUUUAGGAUCAUUAUGACUUUAUACAUUGUGAUUUAAUGUUCAUGAUAAUUUAUCACAUUCCUUUAAUACAAAAUAUUAUUUCUAAUAUUUUUCUUUUAAUUUUUGCACGAAAUAUGACCCAGAAAUCUCCUUGAAAGCUUUUGUGAGAAUCAUCCAGCGUGCCCCUUUUAACUUGUUCUGGCUAUUGUAUGUUUCAAAUAUAAUACACAUUAUGUUCCAAUAAUGUGUAGAGCUCUUAACCCUUAUUAUUAUUAUUUCUUAUUUAUCGAAUUGAAAUGAAAGUGUUAAAAAGUUUUAUAUGUCAGACAUUUGUGGAUAAAGUGAUGUAGUUUGUUUUGAUUACAAAAAUAGUCAUUAUUAUUAUUAUUAUAUUAUUACUACUGUAGGACUUUAAAAAGAUUUUAUUGUGACAAGAUUCAUUUACUUUUACAAUAUUUUUAAAAACUUCUCAUGUGCCCUUUUCUGUGACUUCUUCCCACUUUGCAUAAUUCUUGUUUGUAACAAAAUAGAUUUACAGAAUUAUUAUAUUCACUUUUUUUCCUAAUCUUUUUGCUCACAUACUUUCUCUGGG